GAUGAAGAACGCAGCGAAAUGCGAUAAGUAAUGUGAAUUGCAGAAUUCAGUGAAUCAUCGAAUCUUUGAACGCACAUUGCGCCCGCCAGUAUUCUGGCGGGCAUGCCUGUUCGAGCGUCAUUUCAACCAUCAAGCCCCCGGCUUGUGUUGGGGACCUGCGGCUGCCGCAGGCCCCGAAAACCAGUGGCGGGCUCGCUAGUCACUCCGAGCGUAGUAAUACAUCUCGCUCAGGGCGUGCUGCGGGUUCCGGCCGUUAAAAAGCCUUAUUUACCCAAGGUUGACCUCGGAUCAGGUAGGAAGACCCGCUGAACUUAAGCAUAUCAAUAAGCGGAGGA
rnacentral:misc_RNA from 1 species